rnacentral:tRNA from 1 species
CGGAUAGCUCAGUGGGUAGAGCAGAUGACUCCGAAUCAUCCGGUCGCGGGUUCGACUCCCGCUCCAA